ensembl:snRNA U6 U6 spliceosomal RNA
GUGCUUGCUUCGGCAGCACAUAUGCUAAAAUUGGAAUGAUACAGAGAAGAUUAGCACGGCCCCUGUGCAAGGAUGACACGCAAAUUCGUGAAGCAUUCCAUAUUUUG